rnacentral:tRNA from 1 species
GGGGUUGUGGCUCAGUGGUAGAGUGUUUGCCUAGAGUGUUUGUGUGAGACACUGGGUUUGAACCUCAGCACCCCA